UGGGGAAUUUUGGGCAAUGGGCGAAAGCCUGACCCAGCAACGCCGCGUGAGGGAUGAAGUAUUUCGGUAUGUAAACCCCGAAAGAAUGGGAAGAAUAAAUGACGGUACCAUUUAUAAGCUCCGGCUAACUACGUGCCAGCAGCCGCGGUAAUACGUAGGGAGCAAGCGUUGUUCGGAAUUACUGGGCGUAAAGCGCGUGCAGGCGGUCUCUUAAGUCUGGUGUGAAAGCCCGGGGCUCACCCCCGGAAGGGCACUGGAGACUGGGAGGCUAGAGUACCGGAGAGGAAGGUGGAAUUCCUGGUGUAGCGGUGAAAUGCGUAGAUAUCAGGAGGAACACCGGUGGCGAAGGCGGCCUUCUGGACGGCUACUGACGCUGAGACGCGAAAGCGUGGGGAGCAAACA
rnacentral:rRNA from 1 species